rnacentral:rRNA from 1 species
AUUGAACGCUGGCGGCAGGCCUAACACAUGCAAGUCGAGCGGAAACGAGUUAUCUGAACCUUCGGGGAACGAUAACGGCGUCGAGCGGCGGACGGGUGAGUAAUGCCUAGGAAAUUGCCCUGAUGUGGGGGAUAACCAUUGGAAACGAUGGCUAAUACCGCAUGAUGCCUACGGGCCAAAGAGGGGGACCUUCGGGCCUCUCGCGUCAGGAUAUGCCUAGGUGGGAUUAGCUAGUUGGUGAGGUAAGGGCUCACCAAGGCGACGAUCCCUAGCUGGUCUGAGAGGAUGAUCAGCCACACUGGAACUGAGACACGGUCCAGACUCCUACGGGAGGCAGCAGUGGGGAAUAUUGCACAAUGGGCGCAAGCCUGAUGCAGCCAUGCCGCGUGUAUGAAGAAGGCCUUCGGGUUGUAAAGUACUUUCAGUCGUGAGGAAGGUAGCGUAGUUAAUAGCUGCAUUAUUUGACGUUAGCGACAGAAGAAGCACCGGCUAACUCCGUGCCAGCAGCCGCGGUAAUACGGAGGGUGCGAGCGUUAAUCGGAAUUACUGGGCGUAAAGCGCAUGCAGGUGGUUUGUUAAGUCAGAUGUGAAAGCCCGGGGCUCAACCUCGGAAUAGCAUUUGAAACUGGCAGACUAGAGUACUGUAGAGGGGGGUAGAAUUUCAGGUGUAGCGGUGAAAUGCGUAGAGAUCUGAAGGAAUACCGGUGGCGAAGGCGGCCCCCUGGACAGAUACUGACACUCAGAUGCGAAAGCGUGGGGAGCAAACAGG